rnacentral:lncRNA from 1 species
AGGCUGAAUUUGCAGAGAGAUAUUUUGUUUAAUUUUGUGUUACGUAAGGAUUGUAUAAUCUUGUAUAAAUACAGGUAUAGAUGUCAAUUGUCCAGGUGCCCAGGUUUUGGAUGUAGAAUAGAAGCGUGUUCCUUGAAGUCGGGGAAUGUUUUGUCCUUCACCUGAUCUGAUCUGGCUUCUGUUUUGGUGUCAGGGGCAAAAAGGCCACACCGCCUAGCCUUCCCCUUUCUCCUGAAUCUUCCUAUGUUUCUCUCUAGAUAUCCUAAAUAUACAGACCCACCCACCCACCCUCAUCUCAGAGGGGUAUAAAUAAGUGUCUGCUUCCAUCCUGGGCUACACUUUGCAGGCUCCAGAGAUCGCAAGAUGAAAACUCUGCUGCUGACCUUGGUGGUGGUGACAAUUGUGUGCCUGGACUUAGGAUACACCAGGAAAUGUCACAACUCACCGCUUUCGCUAGUCUAUCAGACUUGUCCAAUAGGGCAGAACAUAUGCUUUAAAAUAAGUGUUAAGAAGGUGCCAUCUAGUAAGCACAGUUCUUAUCUUCUCUCAUAGUUUUUCUUCUUCUUGAACCCAAAUUAGAUCUCCCAAAUGCACCUGAGAGUUGGAGGUCAUGUAGGACCUGUCUGUGCCCUGCCUGGGUUCCCCUGAGAUCACAGCCUGUCACCGGACACUCUAAGCAAUGCAAGGAAAGGGGGUCUUGGACUGGGGAGCCCCAUCUUUCUCAGCAACAGCCCAGAUGGGAGGGGGAAACCUUCUUUAGAGCAAGGGGUAGGGAAAGAUUGGGAGACCUACUGGUUUGUUCAGGAUUUGAGGGAAAUUGGAUGAAGCCAUGAAACAUCCAAGAAAGGUGCCAUUGCCCCUGAGUCAUGUCACAACACAGGACUUCCCAGAAAUCUCUUCUUCAUUCAUUUACUCCUGAGUUUUGAGUAGAGGAGGAAGGAGGUCUGCCUUCCUACUGGGAGGGAUGCAUGAAUGUGUUCAGUGUGGGUUUACCAUUUUGUUCAGCAACAGCCACAGAUCUGUUCUUUGGUACUUUUUAAAUAAUCAUUAUGCUUUGUGCUUCCUUCACAGAAUUUUCUAUCAAAAGGAGAUGUGCUGCUACUUGCCCUAAAAGCAGUGCUCUAGUGAAGGUUGUCUGUUGCAACUGAUAGCUCUACGAGUUCCUAAUUUCCUUGAGUUUUGCUCUCAUCCAUCAUGGACAUCCUUGAAAAUUUAUGCUUGUGGCCUUUACCACCAGAUGGUCUAUCAUCCCCCUCUCCCCUGCUUUCUUUGACACUUCAUCGUCUUUCCCUUUUCUCUUCUUCUGUAAGUUUCCUUCUGCUAGUUCUGUAGUUUGAGAAUCAAAUAAACCUCAGCAUUCAAUUCAAGGGUUUUGAUUUUUUUAAUUCCCCCCUCAAAACAUCCCUUUCACAAAACCUACAGGUAGAGAGUCUUUCUCCAGGUCUCAGCAGGCAGGGAUGCUGGGAUGAGCAGGACUAGGUCCAAUCUCUUUUGACUCCUGGCUUGGAUUGCCUACCAGGUAAUAACCUCACAUUCAGACAGGGUAAAGAAAGAGGAGAAACCCACAACUGAGUCUUUCCUCAGUGAAACCUUAAACUUCAGGGCUGCUCCGUCCCUUCCUUUCUUCUCUCUGGGGAAAGCUGAGGGGAAGAGGAAGAUAUCUUGAAACAGAGGAGGGGGAUUUGGGGUGAAGUAUGUCAGGUCCCUUCUCCAUCAUCCCCACCUGAAAGAAGAAACAUCUUGAUUCAAUAGUUGACUCUGAAGGCUCUUCUCAAACUUUCUCAAUCCUGGGUUCAAGUUUCGGUGGUUACACCUGGACAUUGGGGGUUCACUGGUCUGAUCUUUCCUCACUGCAUUGGGUACACCAAGGUGAAGCUUUGCUGGUUUUCCUCUUUACACCAGGUGGACCGAGCGGAAGCCACGCUGGCCUAAUUGGGUAGAGCGGGCUAGAGCUUGGAAGGCCUUUCUCUUUACACCUGGUAGACCGGGCAAAAGCUUCACUGGCCUAUUCUUUCCUCUCUGCAUUGGGUAGACCAGGCCGAAGCUACAUGAGUAGACUGGGAUGGCCUGGAUCUAACCCCAUCACAGGCCUUGAGUUUGACAACCCUGGACUACAAUGAUGUGGUCCUUCUGUAAAAGACAUAUGGCACUAAAAUACAUACUUGGUUAGAAAAAUGGUAAACAACAUGUAGAUUUGAAACCAGAGAUAUUGUUGGUGGGUAUAUUACCAGAUCAGUAUGACAAAGGGAAAACAUUUAAUUUUACAUGUACUAAGGGGAGCAAGAUUGUGUUUGCACAGCAAUGGAAAAAUGAAGAGAUCCCUAUGGAGGAAAAUGUUAUUAAAAAUAUUAGUAUGUGCUGAGAUGGACAGAUUAACAUUUGAAAUAAAAGACAAGGAAGAAACAGAAUACUUGUAAACAUGGGACUUGUUUUAACAAUGGCUAACCAACAGGAACAGAGGUUACAAACCAAAAAGUUUAAAAAAUAAUAAUAAAAUUCUGAUUGAUAACUUUUCA